rnacentral:pre_miRNA from 1 species
CAGCCUCUGCAGUCUGUCUGGUCCCCAGGCUGGGCUGGGCAAUUGCCUCUUCAAAAGGCUCACCCUCAAGCACAACUAGGAGC